CCCUCCAAUGCAAGUACCCAUAAGGGAUUGCUCUGCUGAGCUCCAACCUCGUCUGCAUCUGUUCAACAAUGCUGUAGGAGCAAGCAUGUAAAAAAAGAGCCAGCUUCUUAAUCUGUGUUCCCUUCCUGGGCCAUAUAAAAGAAGCAAUAACGUUCAUCAGCUACAGAAUCCAAGAGAAGAAUUCAGUUAUCAGGAGUUGAAAAAAAGGAAGGUGUUCAAUGAUCCUGUGGAGCCAGGAAUAAUAU